rnacentral:rRNA from 1 species
UAAAGUCGUAAACAGGUUUCCGUAGGUGAACCUGCGGAAGGAUCAUUA